GCUAGCGAAAGUAGAAAACCCAACACCAAACUAAUUGAAAAAUAACAAAUGAAAACUGUUACUUACGCGUUUCAGACCCGGUGUUUCAAUAUACCAGGUCAACCAUGUAGGAGCAUGUCUGAACAUGCUAAUAAUAAAAUACAAAACCAGAGAACAAGAAAAGGUUAUCCACACUUUAGAGCAAAGCCUCACUGGGCUAUCUGUUGUGUCUACCGCGAAGAAUCGAACCCAGGAUUUGAAUGCGAGAAGUCUGUAAAUUUAUUACUGUCUCACGGAAGGACUUCACAUAAAAUUUCGCACAAAGCUACACAAGAUCUAUUUGCAAAAAGCCGUCCCUAAUUUUCAACAGAUAGAGCAGAGAGAAAGUAGCUGGCGAACAACUUCCACCUCUAACUCUUCUGCUGCUCUUGUCUGACCGAACAGUGAA